rnacentral:rRNA from 1 species
CAGCAGCCGCGGUAAAACGGAGGGAGCUAGCGUUGUUCGGAAUCACUGGGCGUAAAGCGCACGUAGGCGGCUAUUCAAGUCAGGGGUGAAAGCCCGGGGCUCAACCCCGGAACUGCCUUUGAAACUAGAUAGCUUGAAUCUUGGAGAGGCGAGUGGAAUUCCGAGUGUAGAGGUGAAAUUCGUAGAUAUUCGGAAGAACACCAGUGGCGAAGGCGACUCGCUGGACAAGUAUUGACGCUGAGGUGCGAAAGCGUGGGGAGCAAACAGGAUUAGAUACCCGUGUAGUCCCUGUCUCUUUACA